GACGAACGCUGGCGGCGUGCUUAACACAUGCAAGUCGAACGGAAAGGCCCUGCUUUUGCGGGGUGCUCGAGUGGCGAACGGGUGAGUAACACGUGAGUAACCUGCCCUGGACUUUGGGAUAACUUCAGGAAACCGGGGCUAAUACCGGCUAGGAGCUCCUGCUGCAUGGUGGGGGUUGGAAAGUUUCGGCGGUUGGGGAUGGACUCGCGGCUUAUCAGCUUGUUGGUGGGGUAGUGGCUUACCAAGGCUUUGACGGGUAGCCGGCCUGAGAGGGUGGCCGGCGACAUUGGGACUGAGAUACGGCCCAGACUCCUACGGGAGGCAGCAGUGGGGAAUAUUGCACAAUGGGGGGAAGCCUGAUGCAGCAGCGCCGCGUGCGGGAUGACGGCCUUCGGGUUGUAAACCGCUUUCGCCUGUGACGAAGCGUGAGUGACGGUAAUGGGUAAAGAAGCACCGGCUAACUACGUG
rnacentral:rRNA from 1 species